GUAACACCCCUCAUUUCCGAAUUUUCGUAUAAAUUUCUGGUGAUAAUGUAAGCAUCUAUUUUAAAUUGACAAAAGAAAUAGAGUAUGAAUCAGAGGUAACUUAUUUUUAAGAUUUGGGAGAUCUGUUCAAAAAAAAAAAGAAAGAAUCUGAGGACCUAUAUGUAAACCCUAAGGACCUAAUCGUGAAUAUGAUAAAAACAAGGAUUAAACUGCAAAACGCACAAAAUGACAAAUCCCACCGCUUAAGCCUCUCUGCCUUCGUUCUUAAGGAA
rnacentral:lncRNA from 1 species